GACGAACGCUGGCGGCGUGCUUAACACAUGCAAGUCGAACGAGACGAUUGAAAGCUUGCUUUCGAAAGUCGAGUGGCAAACGGGUGAGUAACGCGUAGACAACCUGCCUUUGAGAUGGGGACAACAGUUCGAAAGGACUGCUAAUACCGAAUGUUGUAUAUUUUCCACAUGGAAGAUAUAUUAAAGAUGGCCUCUAUUUAUAAGCUAUCGCUCAAAGAUGGGUCUGCGUCUGAUUAGCUAGUUGGUGGGGUAACGGCCUACCAAGGCGACGAUAAGUCGCCGGUCUGGGAGGAUGAACGGCCACAUUGGGACUGAGACACGGCCCAGACUCCUACGGGAGGCAGCAGUGGGGAAUCUUCCACAAUGGACGAAAGUCUGAUGGAGCAACGCCGCGUGAGUGAAGAAGGGUUUCGGCUCGUAAAGCUCUGUUGUCGGGGACGAAUGUGCAGUAUUUGAAUAAAGUAGUGCAAUGACGGUACCUGACGAGGAAGCCACGGCUAACUACGUGCCAGCCGCCGCGAUAAAAC
rnacentral:rRNA from 1 species